GAUGAACGCUGGCGGCGUGCCUAAUACAUGCAAGUAGAACGCUGAAGCUUGGUGCUUGCACCGAGCGGAUGAGUUGCGAACGGGUGAGUAACGCGUAGGUAACCUGCCUCUUAGCGGGGGAUAACUAUUGGAAACGAUAGCUAAUACCGCAUAAAAGUCGAUAUCGCAUGAUAUUGAUUUGAAAGGUGCAAUUGCAUCACUAAGAGAUGGACCUGCGUUGUAUUAGCUAGUUGGUGAGGUAACGGCUCACCAAGGCGACGAUACAUAGCCGACCUGAGAGGGUGAUCGGCCACACUGGGACUGAGACACGGCCCAGACUCCUACGGGAGGCAGCAGUAGGGAAUCUUCGGCAAUGGGGGCAACCCUGACCGAGCAACGCCGCGUGAGUGAAGAAGGUUUUCGGAUCGUAAAGCUCUGUUGUAAGAGAAGAACG
rnacentral:rRNA from 1 species